rnacentral:lncRNA from 1 species
UCUAAAGCACACUUUAUUAGUCUGGACUGUCUUUUUAAUUACAUAUAUGUUAAUAUUGCAACAGUGGUGAAAAGCAAAGCCUACUCAGAUGAAUCUCGUGGAAUCUUUAAUCACAGUGGUCAUUAGCCUUACCUUGACAGGAUUCCUGGUGUCCUUGGGGACAUUCUGCAGUAGUCCAGCAGUCAGGAGGCAUUGCCGAUCUGGAGAACAGAGCAUGGAAAGAUACUGGACCAGUGUGACCACAGUGAGUUCUGCUGCAGCCUCAUCACACCUGAAGGGAUCA